rnacentral:rRNA from 1 species
UACGGAGGGUGCGAGCGUUGUCCGGAAUCACUGGGCGGAAAGGGCGCGUAGGUGGCGCGGGCAGUCAACGGUGAAAGUUCGGGGCUCAACCCUGAAUCGGCCGUCGAUACUCCCGGGCUUGAGCACUGUAGAGGCAGAUGGAAUUCCGGGUGUAGCGGCGGAAUGCGUAGAGAUCCGGAAGAACACCGGUGGCGAAGGCGGUCUGCUGGGCAGUAGCUGACGCUGAGGAGCGAAAGCGUGGGGAGCGAACAGG